AAAUAAUGUAAAAAAUAGUACAAAAAAUGGGUUUUUUGUUGUUAAAUCAAUCUAAAUUUGAUCCGAAAAUUUUGAAAUUUGGCAGGUAGAUUCCUUGCUAAUACUUUAUCAAUAUAUUUCCUAAAAUGUAACUAUAUCUCAAUAAACACUGCACAGAAUAAAUUAAAUAAUGUAAAAAAUAGUACAAAAAAUGGGUUUUUUGUUGUUAAAUCACUCUAAAUUUGAUCCGAAAAUUUUGAAAUUUGGCAGGUAGAUUCCUUGCUAACACUUUAUCAAUAUAUUUCCUAAAAUGUAACUAUAUCUCAAUAAACACUGCACAGAAUAAAUUAAAUAAUGUAAAAAAUAGUA